AGGCCCACAUAUCAGGAAAGCCAAUCGUGCAUGACGAGCACCACUAUGAACCGAAAUGGGUGGCAUCCAUAGCAGUACAAGUAAUUGUGUGCACUGAACCGAGUGGACCUCAUUUUCCAUCUGUGUGCACUGGAAGGCAUCGGGGUGCGACCGCUUCGGGACCAGUGAAAUGACACUGGGCCCGCAUCACACAGAAGGAACCUCGCCUCUCCACAGUGGAUCCAUCCACUAUUUGAGAGAAUAAAGAAAGCACGUUGCUGCCACCUGCUGGAGGGCACGGACUGAAAUAACUGGACACCGAUGAGCCUAACGGACAUACGACACCAAACAUAUGCAAUAAAUAUGGAUUUCUUCCGGGGCUCCAGAUUUCAGAUGUGUGAGACUCUAAACGCUGAUAAAAAGCGU